rnacentral:rRNA from 1 species
UACGGAGGGGGCUAGCGUUGUUCGGAAUUACUGGGCGUAAAGCGCACGUAGGCGGCUUUGUAAGUUAGAGGUGAAAGCCCAGGGCUUAACCCUGGAAUUGCCUUUAAGACUGCAUCGCUAGAAUCGUGGAGAGGUGAGUGGAAUUCCGAGUGUAGAGGUGGAAAUUCGUAGAUAUUCGGAAGAACACCAGUGGCGAAGGCGACUCACUGGACACGUAUUGACGCUGAGGUGCGAAAGCGUGGGGAGCAAACAGG